GUGUCAGAGGGAGCAGGUCACCGCGCGACUCACUGGGACUCUCAGGCGCUGGGGAGGGGCUGCCGGCCGGCCCUGCUGGGCUCUGGCAGCUCACUGCUGGGUCCAAGCUGCUGCUUUGCCACUUACUAGCUGUGCGACUCGGGCAAGUGACUUCCGCUCCCGUGCCUCGGUUUCCUCCUCGGUAAGGUAACUCCUGUGGAAUAUCGCCUGGCACGUGGUGCGUGCUCCGUAAACCCAGUUGUCCUGAGGAUUCAUCGGGAGGACGUUCCCAGGAGAGCUCUUACCAGCCCAGAGCUGCAUCUGCUUAUCUCAAAGAGCAUCACGUCUUGAAGGAACACAGAGCCCUUCCAUGUGAGCUGCUGGUCCUUGGAAUUCUGGUCCUGCAAGGACAGUUGGUUUUGGUACAUUUAUUGAGCACCUGCUGCAUGCUGUCUCUGGGCUGGUGGCACACGGCCGAUGAGGCGCAGUCCCUGCUUUCACAGACUUCACCGUCCAUGAGGAGAUGGAACAUAACCCAGGAAGCAAAGGCGUGACCAGAAAUUGUGAUACCGCCAUGGAGGAAAUGGGUUUGGGGGAGAAUGUGCAAAGGGUCCCAGAGGUGGUGACAUCUGAGCUAAACCUGAAAGAGCAGAAGGAGCCAAUCAUGGGGCAGGAAGGGAUUCCGGGCAGAGAAGCCUUGACCAAAUGCCCAGGGGCAGGAAGCGGCACUGAACCAAGGCCGAUGUGUGGCGUUCGGUGCGGACAGAGGAGAACAGUGAGAGACGGCGUGGGGCCGCGGCUUUGGAGCGCAAGCCUAGGAACAAAGGGAGACCAUGGAACGAGUUUAAGCAGGAGAGUCAAGCAAUACAGAGGAUUUUCUGAGAAGAUCAACUGCUGUGUGGAGGAUGGAGGGGAAAGAAGGACAGUGGGAAUGGGGGGCCGGCCAGGCAGCGGGUGUGCUCGUUCAGAAGAGGCGAUGCUGGCCUUGCCCAGGGGCCGGGGAGAAGUGAGGGCCUUUGGGUAGGUUUGGUGGUGGAGGAGAUGGGUUUGUGGCGUCAGCAGGAGGAGCCUUGAUUCUAUCCUCGGAUUUGUCACUGGCCAGGUGGAUGGACCUGGGGAUUUCUCAUUCUUUGUUUUCUUUUUUCAAUUUUAAAAAUUGUGGUAAA